rnacentral:rRNA from 1 species
UACAGAGGUCUCAAGCGCUGUUCGGAAUCACUGGGCGUAAAGGGUGCGUAGGCCGCACGGUAAGUCAGAGGUGAAAUCCCGGGGCUCAACCUCGGAAUUGCCUCCGAUACUGCCGUGCUUGAGGACUGGAGAGGAGAUUGGAAUUCACAGUGGAGCAGUGAAAUGCGUAGAUAUUGUGAGGAACACUAGUGGCGAAGGCGAAUCUCUGGACAGUUCCUGACGCUGAGGCACGAAGGCCAGGGGAGCAAACGGG